UACAGAGGGUGCAAGCGUUAAUCGGAAUUACUGGGCGUAAAGCGCGCGUAGGUGGUUCAGUAAGUUGGAAGUGAAAUCCCCGGGCUCAACCUGGGAACUGCAUUUGUGACUGCAAGGCUAGAGUACGGCAGAGGGGGAUGGAAUUCCGCGUGUAGCAGUGAAAUGCGUAGAUAUGCGGAGGAACACCAGUGGCGAAGGCGACCACCUGGACUGAUACUGACACUGAGGUGCGAAAGCGUGGGGAGCAAACAGG
rnacentral:rRNA from 1 species